GAAAAUGUCUGUGCCUGGAUUUACUGCAGCCCCGUUGGGGUGCGGGGUGCUGGGCAGGGACCUGCCUGUACGCGGGCAGGUUACGGGACGGAUGCUGAAGCCACCCGACGGGUAGGGAUGCGGACCUGAGGACCAUCCCCUCUGCUCCCCAUCGCUCAGCACCCUGCCACCGCCUCUGCAUGGCCCCGAAUGAUGUCUCCUUGAGGUUGCCAAUAACAAUACAGCAGGAACAGCUCCUGGCCCCAUAACCGUCAGUUUUCUACCCUUUUUUUGGGGCAAGUGCCAGCCUGGUUUCUUGCCAGCCCAAUGUCUGCUGACAAAGAGUCCAGCAGCGAUGCAGCCAGGGAUUAGCAAUGGUAGGAACGAGCCAUGGUCCCUCAGCCCCAGAUGGUGAUGGGGACGAUCUCCGCAAGGUCCAUAGCCAUAAAGCACAGCGAAAAAUGAGCUUAUUCAGCUGAGGACCUGGGAAUGCUGGGGACCGAGAGACAGCCCAGGAUUGGUGGCAGUGGAGCAGGAUGGAGAAAGCAGGAUUAUCGCCCGGGGUGAGGCUGGUGUUGCCCAAAUCGGGGCAGGGAAGGGACGGCACCCAGCCACACUCCCGCUAGCCGGGAUGCCUGCAGGACCCGGACACGAUGCGUCCGUAUCUGGGCAAAGAAAAGCAGCUUCCCUUUGACCAUUGAAGCUUGGGAGUCCCCUUCACCACCACCAGCCCCUUUCCCCAGCAGCCCUGCCUCCCCCUGCCCUCGCCGGGGGUGGCCGGAGGGCCUGACCCCCAUUUCUGUGCCACCCAGGGUGUCCGGCGGUGAGAGCGGCUGUGGGAGAGGCCAGCGGGCUAAACCUUCCUCCCCCCACAAGCCCUGGGCUCCCUCCCUCCCCGCCGUGACGCUGGCCCACAAACCCAGCUGCAAACCCUGGGCUGUGCAACAGCUAAAUACUGGGAAACUGGGCGAGCGCCAAGGACUUUGAUCCCCAGCCAUAAAAACCUCCUCCACAAGCUGACUUCUCUUGCGAAAUAACCUCCUGGGGAGGGGGGGGCUGAGCUGACGCGUGCUGCCCCCGCCGCCUUUGCGGCCCCAGAAAAGGGGGUUUGACUAGUAAGCGAUGGGAUCGCCUGCAGCCUCGUCCCGUAGCGGUGCGGUGCCAAUGCCGGUGCCGGGCAGACGCGUGUUGCACCGAAUACAUGCAUUUACCUUGGACUGCUCCCAAGCACUCCUGCGCUCCUCCCCGGUGCAUCUGCACAUCCCAGCCGUGGCAAGGCCAGCUGAAAACCUUCCCAGUUGGGAAACACCAAGCAGAGAGCAUGUGCCUGGUGUGGCACCCAGCCCCUUCUUCUGGAGAUGCCUGGCGGGACAGGACAGGCAGUGCUGCACACCCUGGGGCCGGGGACAUGGGUUAUAUCAGAGUUAUCAGAAGGAGACGUUAGUGUCUGCCUUAGAAACCUUAAAAAAGGGGGUUUUAAUUUUUUUUUUAAUUUUUUUUUUUCUCUUUCCAGGGGGUGCUCAGCAGCUGCAGCCCACCCCAGCUUGGGGUGGGCAACCCUGAGCUGUUGGGUGUGAGCCUUGCGCUGUGCUGGACAUGCAAUAUCAACGUGGCCAGGUAUGAAAGGGCCACAGGUCCUCUCUGCUAAAGGGCUCAAUAAGCCACUGAUGAACAAUUUCUUCUUCCCAUUUUUGUUACCUUUAUUUUAACUCCAGCACCAUCCAGCAUGCUGGCAGAGCAGGGCCUUUUAUGUUAUUUGGAAGCAAACAUAGGAAACAGGGAAUUUUUUUUGUGAACACCAGAUUGCAGCUUGAUCAAAUCAAGGCAAAAUGGGGUCUGCACAAACAUGGAUGUGUAAAAAGACGGCAGAAGAGCAUCCGGGGCUUCUCAUACCAAUAAGCCUCCUAAUGAGGCAAACACAAACCCUACCCCACAGUCCAAGCACUGCCAGAUCCUCAGAGAAGGUGACAGACCCCCCCCCGAGCUGCUGCUGCAGACAUCGCAGGUUUCCAGGCGGACACAGAAAGUGCAGGACCAAGGCUCCUGCGGUCACGGCCAGCCCUGCCGUGAGCUGCUUUUAUUUUGCCAUUCUGUGGUUAAACCCAGAUUUUCCCUGAUCUUGCUUGUCACUUUUAUUAGCGUUUCUGCUCCUUUAUUUAUAACUGCAGCCUCGUCUCUCACACCCACGGACACACGUGUCAGCAAGACGCCUCUGCGCCCGGGGGCUGAUCGUCCUGGGGAUGUGCCUCAAUCUGCCACCGUGUCCCCGAUCAUCCCCCGGGACCGAGAAGUUUAGGGCAUCAGUGCCAUAAAGCCUUUAACAUCACUCCAGUGUCAUCUAGCCGUGGCUCCCCAAACACGGCAAUAACUCGGAGUGUUUUUCCACUCUGCCAAGUAAUCUGAGAGAUUUCCAGCGCUCUCCUCCCCGUCUCCCUGCAGUUGGGCUCCGGUGUACAUGCUGUCGGUCGUGCCUGGAUUUUAUGAUUUUGCAGCCCGGAGCUGCUCCCCUCCAGGGCGAGUCUUCGCCCACAGCACCCAGCUGGAUCCCACUGCGUUCCAGGAGCGUCCGGCCGCUGCGGCUCCUGGUGCUGGCUGGGACCAUGCAAAACUCAGUGCAUUGGUGCCGAGCG